rnacentral:lncRNA from 1 species
UCUCUUGGAGUUCUAGCUCACCUUUCUGGUGUUGUUCUUGUACUCAUCUGUUUAAUCUAGUUCUGCCACUUCUUCUUGAACUUCUUGUUAGAUUUCAAGUCUGUAUUUUGUGUCCGUGACAGUUUGUCGAGACUACCUUUAUCUUAAUAUCAGAGCUGAAUCCUUCUUGUUUGAGAGCGGAUUACCCCUCUUCUUGAAGGUAUUCUAGCGCUUUAGGGGUUGCGGAUUACCUUCCUCUAAACUGAUAUUUUCUCAAUCACAAUAUCAGAGCUUAGUUCUUUGAGGCAGAGAGUGGACUACCCCUUUCCUUGGAGAUACUUGAGCGUUCUAAGGGUUGCGGAUUACCCUCUCUUGGACUGAUAUUAAUUCCUUCUUUUUGUUGAGCAUAGCUAGUAGAAAAGACUGUUAAUAUCGAUUUCAGAGCUUUGCCUUCUUGAUAGAGUGCGGAUUACCCCUCUUCUUGAAAGCAUUGAGGCAUUUUUAGAGGUUGCGGAUUACCCUCCUCUAAAACUGAAAUCGUUUAGUGUUUUUUUUUCCUUUUCUCCGAGUAGGUUUUAGUGACAGGUAGUGCUACAAUUUUCUCCAAGAGACUUAGCAAUUUCUUCUUCUCUCAAAAUUUUAAUCCAUCUAUUCUCUAAAUAUGGAAGUAGACCAGGUUAAAGACAGUGCAUCUCCACAAGUAGACAAUAGAGUGGCAACUCUUGCAGAUCUUCAAGCUCUUAUGAAUAGUGUACGAAAGGAGAUUGCAUUUCUUCGCAAUCCAAGUAAAGAACCUCAAAUUGAUCUAGUGACCAAAGAAGCUAGACGCGAAAUUCAUAGCCUACAACAAGAGAUUAUUCGACUGAGAGAAGCAAGACAUGUGUCACAUACGACCCCUAUAGAUACUUCAAGGAUUAGUACGAAAGAACCAAAAGCGAGUAUGCCAGACAAGUUUGACGGAACAAGAGCCAACUUUCGAGGUUUUGUGCAACAAGUACGGCUUUACCUAUGCCUAUACCCUUCUCGUUAUCCGAAUGGAUUUACCCAGGUUGCUUUCAUAGGUACUCUUCUAUCAGGAAAUGCUCGCUCUUGGUUUGCUCCACUAUUGGAGAAGGAUUCUCCAAUAUUGUACGACCUAGAGGCUUUCAUAGAGAGACUUACUGCUGCGUUUGGAGAUAGGGAUCAAGAAAGAGUGGCUGAAAGAAAGAUACAAAAUCUGCGACAAGGAUCACGUUCUGCUGCAAUCUAUGCUGCAGAAUUUCAACAGCUUACAUGCGAUCUUGAUUGGAAUGAUAAGGCGUUCAUGACACGAUUUCGAUAUGGACUGAGAGAUGAUGUCAAGAACUUAUUGAUCACCAUGCCUAAGGCGGAUACUUUAGAAGAACUUAUAUCUCAGGCAAUUAUUUGUGACAACCGCCUCUUUGAAUUACGACAAGAAAGACGAUCAGGCUAGAGAAAUGAUGGAGCAUUUGCUACAUUUUCAAAAGGUCCAGAGAAUCACUCCACAGAUCCUGAACCCAUGCAAAUUGAUGCGGUACGUUUCAAACCCCUCACAGCUGAGGAAAGGAAGCGACGGUUUGAACAAAACUUGUGUUUAUAUUGCGGAGAAGCGGGCCAUAAAGCUGUAGAUUGUCGGAAGAAACAGAAGCCUCAAACAACAAGACUCAGGAGUACAAGCAUGUAGGAAAACAAGGACGCCCAGCCACAAUAGGGACCGUGCGGCUGGACAUCUCAACAUCCAAAAUUAAUCAAGGUCCCUUUCUCUCAGCUCAACCUUCAGAUUGUUUUAUGGUACCUUUACAUCUGGGUAUUCAAGAACUACAAGUCGAUGCUUUAUUAGACUCGGGUGCAUCCGCUUGCUUUAUAGAUGAAGAGUUUGCCAAGCUUCACAAUAUUUCUCUUGUAAAGAAACUUAAGCCUGUCCAUGUAGAAGUCAUAGAUGGACGACCAUUGUCUUCGGGCAAUGUUAUCUAUGAAACUAAAUCAUUCAAGGUACGUCUUGAAAACCAUGAGAGCAAUAUUGUGUUUAAUGUUAUCAAGACCCCUUCAUGUCCUAUCAUUUUGGGACUAUCUUGGCUUGAUAGAUAUAAUCCAUUGAUAGAUUGGAAGUUGCGAAAAGUGACAUUUCCAACAAACUCCUUGAAGGUGGAAUCUGCCAAGACAAUGUCUAGAAACAAAUCCUUGUUUAUAGGUGCAAGGGCUUUCAUGAAGGAAGCCAAGCAAAAUACACCUCUGGUCAUCUUUGCAACUCCGACUCGAGAAGAUGCAACUCCGACUUUGGUUAUUCCAAAGCAGUAUGAAGAAUUCAAAGAUGUCUUUGAAAAGAAGAAUGCUGAUAUGCUGCCAGAGCAUCGACCCUAUGACUGUGCCAUUGAAUUGCAAGAAGGAGCACAACCACCUUUUGGACCAAUCUACAAUUUGUCGCAGACGGAGUUGACUGAGUUGCGGAAGUACAUUGACGAGAAUCUAGCCAAGAACUUCAUCCAUCAUUCAAAGUCGCCAGCUGGGGCACCAAUCUUAUUUGUGAAGAAGAAAGAUGGCUCACUACGGAUGUGCGUAGACUAUCGAGGUCUCAACAAGGUGACAAAAAAGAAUCGCUACCCACUGCCUUUGAUCUCUAGUCUUCUAGAACAACUUGGACGUGCAAGGAUCUUUACAAAGAUUGACCUAAGGGGAGCUUACAACCUUGUGCGAAUCAAAGAAGGAGAUGAAUGGAAGACAGCUUUUCGAACAAGGUAUGGCCAUUUUGAAUACAAUGUCAUGCCAUUUGGUCUUACUAAUGCUCCAGGGGUCUUUCAACACAUGAUGAAUGACAUCUUUUGAGAGCAUCUAGACGAUUUUGUUGUCAUCUAUCUAGAUGAUAUUUUGAUAUUUUCUAAGAACAAGGAAGAACAUGAGAAGCACGUUCGUCUGGUACUCAAAAAACUACGGGAGCGAGGACUCUAUGCCAAAUUGGAGAAGUGCUUAUUUCACCAAACUGAGAUGGAGUUUUUGGGAUUCAUCGCGACUACGGAAGGAUUGAAGAUGGAUCCAAAGAAGGUGGAAGCAAUCAUGUCUUGGAAAGUUCCGAAGACGGUUAGGGACGUACAAUGUUUUCUUGGAUUUACUAACUACUAUCGGAUCUUCAUCAAGAAUUAUUCUCAAGUUGCUGCCCCCCUCACUCGGUUAACGUGCAAGGACAAGCUCGAAUGGGGACCUAUCGCAGAAAAAGCAUUCCAAGAUUUGAAGAUGGUAUUUACUACAGCUCUAAUCUUGGUACAUCCGGACUUUACAAAGGCCUUUUAUUUGGAGACAGAUGCUUCGGAUUUUGCUUUGGGAGCUGUACUUUCGCAGAUGGGCGUAGAUGAGAAGCUCCAUCCAGUUGCGUUCUAUUCUCGAAAAUUCUCUGCUGCUGAGAUCAACUAUGAGAUCCACGAUAAGGAACUCCUUGCUAUAGUAGAUUCUUUACAAGACUGGCGCGACUUUCUCGAAGGAACUGCACAUCCAGUGACCGUAUAUACAGAUCACAAGAAUUUGGAGUAUUUUAUGUCGGCUCGGGUUUUGAAUCGGCAUCAAGCUCGGUGGAGUAUGUCGCUAUCCAGGUUCGACUUUGUUAUUACUUAUCGGCCUGGGAAGCAACAAGGGUUGUCCGAUGCAUUAUUAAAGAGAUCAUAUCUCGCGCCAAAGGCUGGAGAUGCAGCAUUUGAUCAACAGUGCACGACAUUGUUGAAGCCAGAGAAAUUUCGACUCAACGCAGCUAUUGUACCAAUUGAUGCUGACUUCCUCGACCAGGUACGGGCCGCAACCAUUGAAGAUUCUCUAGCCCUUGAUAUCAAGCAACAUGCUAGUGAUGAUAAAUUCAAGAUGGAAGGAGAUCUAGUAUAUUUUGAAGAGCGGUUGUAUAUCCCAAAAGGGCCAACACGACUCCGAGUUCUUCAAUCUCGUCAUGACUUCCCAGCUGCGGGACAUUUUGGAUUCAAUAAGACCUUAGAACUUAUUUCCCGCGAUUUCUCGUGGUCUCAAAUGUGAAAGGACGUGAAAGAUUUUGUUGUAUCUUGUGACAUUUGUUCAAGAUCCAAAAACCCUCGACAUCGGCCUUAUGGACUUCUACAGCCAUUGCCUAUUCUGCGCCGACCAUGGUCUUCGGUUUCCAUGGACUUUAUUACGGAUCUACCACCAUCGAAUUCAUUUGACAGCAUUUUUGUUGUCGUAGAUCGGCUUACAAAGAUGGCACAUUUUGUCCCUUGCAAGAAGACAUCGUCAAGCGAAGACUCAGCAAGACUCUUUCUUGAUAAUGUGUAUCGAUAUCAUGGUCUACCAGAUGAUAUCGUAUCGGAUCGAGGAACCCAGUUUGUGUCAAAGUUUUGGAAAUCUCUUUUUGAGAUAUUGAAGGUGGAUAUCAAGCUUUCUUCAGCAUUUCAUCCUCAAACGGACGGCCAAACAGAACGAGUGAAUCAAGUUUUAGAGCAAUAUUUACGUUGCACCAUCAACUAUCAACAAGAUGAUUGGGCCGCAUAUCUACCGCUAGCCGAGUUUGCAUAUAACAACACCUUUCAUGCGUCAACUCAACAAACGCCAUUCUUUUCUAAUUAUGGAUACCAUCCGAAGCUUGACUUAUGGAGUUCGUCAACGAUUAACAAUCCGGCAGCUGAAGGAUUGGUGAAGGAGCUUUCGCAACUUCAAACUAUAUUGAAGCUUCAAUUGCAAACUGCCCAAGAAUCUUACAAGGCGUCCGCGAAAAAAUUUCGGAAUCAGGCACCUAAAUUCACGAUUGGAGACAAAGUUUGGCUGCUUCGACGAAAUAUUAAGACCAAGCGGCCAUGUGACAAAUUGGACUAUCGGAGAUUGGGACCAUUUGUUAUCCAGAAGCAGAUCAAUCCUGUAGCGUAUCGUUUGGAGUUACCAGCUACAAUGAAGGUACAUCCUGUCUUUCAUGUUUCUUUGUUGGAGCCUUAUCGAGAAUCGUCUUUUCCUGAAAGAGUACAAUGUCCACCACCUAGCAUAGAAAUAGAGAACCACGAAGAAUACGAGGUGGAAAAGGUCUUGGAUUCACGGCAAAGACGGGGUAAAUUAGAAUACUUUGUGCAUUGGAGCGAUUACGAUAUUAAUGAACGAACAUGGGAGCCGGCCAAAAAUCUUGCGAAUGCACCGCAAAAGGUACAGGAGUUUCAUCGACGAUAUCCUAAGAAACCCAAGCCGGUUCGACGAUAGCUUCUUACUGAAGCUUGCUCAUCCAGAAAAUAGAAAAGAGGAGAGAGCACCACCAAAAUCCAUAGUUGAUGUAGUCAUUCUCUCCAAGAUAGCGUAGAACUUUGUUAGUAGCCCAAGUUUGUUCUUAUUGUUUUAGCCUUUGAAUAUGGAUAGCCAAGAUACUACACUUGUCAUGUCAUCUCAAGCAACUAGCUCACGAAGACGACCGUGAGAUGAAGAACCGCCUGCACCACGACGACGUCGAAGGAUUCCGAGCAACAGAUCGCUGGUGAUUGUAUUUGAGGUCGAGCCUGCCUAGAAUGGUCAGCCAGAAGGAGUGUUUGUAGGACAAUUUCAGAAUGAAGACACGGAGGUUCAUGCUUGGUCAGAAGUUGAAGGCGUGGGCCAUUACCGUUGGCUUCAAGGACCAUUGAAUCACUUGCCUCGUGAACAACAAUUGGAGUUCAUAGGAGAGGUUAUGCGACAGAUCUUCAUUUUCUUGCGCUGCUAUUGACUGACGAUAACAUUGCUUCUCGGAGACCUCGAAGCUAAAGGAGGAGGUGAUGUUAGGGACAUAGUCCUUAGACCUUUCUAGAGACAAGUUUCUAGAACCUUCUAGAAAGAAGUCUCUAGAAACUUCCAGAAGAUUCCUUGAAUAUUCUCUUAGAAUAUUCUUCAAAGAUUCCCUAAAGAUUCUUUGAAGAUUCUCUAAAGAUUUCCUUAGAAGGCUCUAGAAGAUUCUUAGAAUAUUCUAGUAGAUUCUAGGAAGUUACUUGAGAAGCUUCCUAGCUUUUGGGUAGUUGCUCGAGAAACUUCAUAGUUCUUGGGAAGCUUCUUGAUGCGCUUCCUUAGAACCAUAGGCCAGUAGUAUAUAUAGGAGUCGAGGCUGAAGAGUUCUUCAGUCUCGACAACACAUCUCUUGGAGUUUUAGCUCACCUUUCUGGUAUUGUUCUUGUACUCAUUUGUUUAAUCUAGUUCUGCCACUUCUUCUUGAACUUCUUGUUAGAUUUCAAGUCUGUAUUUUGUGUCCGUGACAAUUUGUCGAUUCAGCUCCUUCGAUGGCCAGCUCAAUCUACAGAUUUGAAUCCAAUGGAACAUUUUUGGGCCCUUCUCAAACAAUGUUUAAGCCAAGUCACUCCAAGGCCAAGAGGUGUUCAAGAAUUGUGGGAGAAUGUUUGUAGUAUUUACCCUAGUUUUGAUGCAAAAGAUUGUGAGAAACUAUACAAAAGUAUGCCAAGAAGGAUUUCAGUUGUUUUGAAAGCAAAAAGUUAUUGGACUAAAUAUUGAAGUUUGAAGAUUUUCUUUGAACAAUACUGAGUACAAGACAUAGUUGUUGAUUUGACUUUGUAGAAGGA